CCGCGUAGGUGGUAGUGCAAGUCUGGGGUGGAAUCUUAGGGCUUAACCCUAAAACUGCCUUGGAAACUGCAUUACUUGAGUCAGUGAGGGGAGGGUAGAAUUCCUGGUGUAGCGGUGAAAUGCGUAGAUAUCAGGAGGAAGGCCUGUGGCGAAGGCGGCCCUCUGGCGCUGAACUGACACUGAGGCGCGAAAGCGUGGGUAGCAAACAGGAUUAGAUACCCUGGUAGUCCACGCCCUAAACGGUGGGUACUAGGUGUAGGGCUCGUAAGGGUUCUGUGCCGAAGGGAAACCAUUAAGUACCCCGCCUGGGGAGUACGGCCGCAAGGUUGAA
rnacentral:rRNA from 1 species